CUAAGAACACAGAUGGAUACUGGAGGGUUGCAACUUGCAGCCAACUUCAAAAAUAACAUUGAAAAGAGUUACUUAGGCUCAGAAUUACUGCUAAAACAUUGACAAUUCUGCUCAAAACUGUCAGCUUUCAGUGCUGUAACUUUGGUGAUUUGGGAUUCCCAUUCAAGAAGUCCCAGACUUGUGUGUGGCUGAUCCCCAAGGAUUUCCUGAAUGUUCUGACACUGGAAUCCUUGUGGAGUCCAGUAAUUCCCUGAAUUACAAAAUUUUGCUAUAUUGUGGAAGGUAUCUCUUUCAUAAGUAGAGGAAUAACAGUGGUAGAUCACAAACUACAUUGGGAAAUCGACCCACUUCAGAUCUGGUGAAAGACCUUCACCUUGAAUGGAGAAGAACAGAUGUGAGGGAGCAGGUUUACGCCUUUGAUCAAGUUUAUCUCUCUGACCCAUGGGCCCAGAACAUCUCCUCGUUCGUGAUUCUACGUUUCUAACCUGUUGUUCAUUAAGGUAUCUUGAAUAUACUUAGUGAUUGGACCUCUAUGGGGUUGGAAUGCCAACGAUUUGUCAUCCUGGGUGAAAAAAUUUCUUCUGCUCUCUGUCCUGAAUGGCAGACCUCUUAUUUUGAGUCUAUGAUUGCUGGUUCUCGAAACCCAGCCAGGGGAAACAACCGAAACAGGACUCGAAGCCAGGAUCCAUGUUCUGAGUUCAAAUCCACCACAUGAGGGGAAUUGAGAUUGAAUUAAAUAAAUCAGAAAAGAACUGGAAUCAGCAACGAUGAAAGUAAGACUACUGGAACAUCAUCUUAUAUGAUGAGAUGGACUCUGACCUCACAAUCUACCUUGUUGUGACCUUGCACCUUAAUGUCUACCUGCACUGCACAUCCUCUGUAGCUGUGACACUUUACUCUGCACUGUUAUUGUUUUUACCUGUACUACCUCAAUGCACUCUGUACUAACACAAUGUAACUGCACUGUGUAAUGAGUUGAUCUGUAUGAUCGGUAUGCAAGACAAGUUUUUCACUGUACCUCAGUACAAGUGACGAUAAUAAACCAAUACCAAUACAUUGUAAAAAUCCACCUGCUUAACUAAUGUCCUUCAAGGAAGGAAAUCUCUUGUCAUUACCCAUUCUGGACAGUUUGACUUCAGAUUUUCAACAAAGUGUUUGUCUCUUUAAAAAUAGUGUGGA